AUAAAAAUGGCAAUCCCACAUGCAUAUGGGUCUCAAGAGCACUUGUUACUGGCACAAAACUUUCAGAGGUAACAUGUCUUUCUGUCCAUGAAAGUUUAACUCAAAUGGCGGUUGGUUUUGAUGACGGAACUGUUGUUAUUUUUAAAGGUGACAUCAUGAAUUCUAGGAGUAGUAAACAAAGAACUAUUCACAUGGACAAGUACCCAAUAACAGGUGAAGAAU
rnacentral:lncRNA from 1 species